CUGCGAACAGAAAAUCGCUUUGGAUUAGGAAGUUGGUAGACAAAAGUUCCUAAGCUAAAUCGAUUUUCUGUUGCAA